rnacentral:rRNA from 1 species
CAGUAGCCGCGGUAAUACGGAGGGGGCUAGCGUUGUUCGGAAUUACUGGGCGUAAAGCGCACGUAGGCGGCUUGGUAAGUUAGAGGUGAAAGCCUGGAGCUCAACUCCAGAAUUGCCUUUAAGACUGCCGAGCUAGCAGGUGAGAGAGGUAAGUGGAAUUCCGAGUGUAGAGGUGAAAUUCGUAGACAUUCGGAAGAACACCAGUGGCGAAGGCGGCUUACUGGCUCAUACUGGACGCUGAGGUGCGAAAGCGUGGGGAGCAAACAGGAUUAGAGACCCCCGUAGUCCCUGUCUCUUAUAC